rnacentral:misc_RNA from 1 species
GAUGAAGAACGUAGUGAAAUGCGAUACGUAGUGUGAAUUGCAGAAUUCAGUGAAUCAUCGAAUCUUUGAACGCACAUUGCACCUCUCGGUAUUCUGGGAGGUAUGCCUGUUCGAGCGUCAUUUGUACCCUCAAGCUCUGCUUGGUGUUGGGUGUUUGUUCCGCCUCUGUGUGUGAACUCGCCUCAAAACAAUUGGCAGCCGGCGUACUUGUUUCGGAGCGCAGCACAUUUUGCGAUCCAGAUCAACGUACAGCGGCAUCCAAGAAGCCUUAUUUAACGCUCUUGACCUCGGAUCAGGUAGGGAUACCCGCUGAACUUAAGCAUAUCAAUAAGCGGAGGA